rnacentral:rRNA from 1 species
CCUACGGGAGGCAGCAGUAGGGAAUCUUCCGCAAUGGACGAAAGUCUGACGGAGCAACGCCGCGUGAACGAUGAAGGCCUUCGGGUCGUAAAGUUCUGUUGUCAGGGAAGAACAAGUAUCGGAGUAACUGCCGGUACCUUGACGGUACCUGACCAGAAAGCCACGGCUAACUACGUGCCAGCAGCCGCGGUAAUACGUAGGUGGCAAGCGUUGUCCGGAAUUAUUGGGCGUAAAGCGCGCGCAGGCGGUUCCUUAAGUCUGAUGUGAAAGCCCCCGGCUCAACCGGGGAGGGUCAUUGGAAACUGGGGAACUUGAGUGCAGAAGAGGAGAGCGGAAUUCCACGUGUAGCGGUGAAAUGCGUAGAGAUGUGGAGGAACACCAGUGGCGAAGGCGGCUCUCUGGUCUGUAACUGACGCUGAGGUGCGAAAGCGUGGGGAGCGAACAGGAUUAGAUACCCUGGUAGUCCACGCCGUAAACGAUGAGUGCUAAGUGUUAGAGGGUUUCCGCCCUUUAGUGCUGCAGCAAACGCAUUAAGCACUCCGCCUGGGGAGUACGGCCGCAAGGCUGAAACUUAAAGGAAUUGACGG